UCUGUGUUCAUUUUCUGACCGUAAACUGAAAUACUGGUGAACAAACGUGGGGUGCGAGCGGGUGAGCGGGGCGGCCGGCCGGUGCCCGCUGCAUCCAGAGGGGGCGCUGCAGGCCUCCCUUCGGCUGCGCACGGCCCGGGCCCUCCGCGGCUCUGCAACUCUGCACCCCGAAAGGUUCGGUGCUGGACCGCGGGGCAUCCAACCCGGGACCGGGGGCGACCCACGGACACUGAGGAAACUACCGCCUAUAAGCCUAUCAUCAGAACCUCUGGCACAACACAGGCCAGAAACACCAGCAUCCAAGAUGAAGGCAAUUUUCUGUUUAUGGACUGAGUACCCCACAAAAGAUCUUAUUCUGAAGGCCAUGGAACAUGUCUACCCACAUGGAUCAAGUGGGCAGACUGGAGGAGAAACAGUUUAAAGGCCCUGGGGGAAGGAGGGAGCGCCAGGGAGAGCUCCUGAAGACAACAGGAAUUCCAAGUCUGGCACUCGGGAGAAAUCCUCCCUUCAGACAUUAUUGAUGUCUGGCCGAGGAGUUAGGAAAAACUUCCUUGAAGGAGGGAUUGAGGUUGAGAUGGGCAUGGAACCCAGAUCUUAGGCAGAGAAAGCAUAUUCCUGUUUGGAAGAACCCUGAGUACAGAAGUCAGCUCAAAGAUAUCAGCUUGGCCCAACCAGGAAUUCGCUGUGGGAAGUCUAAGAGAGAAAAUGCUGGCCAUAAUCCCCCAGGAGCCAAAGAGUUAACGAAUCUUCUAAAUGUGCCUGAUUUACUUCCAGAAAGGAGCUUCCUCCGCAGGGGGAGAAUUUGACCCAAGGUAUAAAACACUUGGAGCCCUGAGAAAACACACAGCCACACAUAAAUUCAAAGUCGGCUCUGGCUUGCUCGAAGUUGCACCCUUUCAGUUCCUCUGGACAGAUGCUAUCCUGGACUGUGCAGGAUAUCUCAUGCAGUAGUACUCCCUCAGCCAGUGGCUUAUCACACAUUCUUGUCACAUUCCAAGUCUAACACAGUUCCGCCUCAUGAUAAGACCUCAGAUCUGUGCAAAAAUUCAUGUAGAAAGCUCUGCAUUUAUUAUCUCGCUGAUUCACAACAGUGGUAUGGGAUCAGCAGAGAUGGUACCACAGAUUCAAGAACCAUAUUUUUCUAACCCCAGUUUGAGACCCAUAAUAUGACAAGUGCAGGAUAUUUAUGGAGACAACAAGACACAACCGGGACUGCCACUUUCAAGAGCCAUCAUUGUAGAUUCAAAUCAACUAAAACACUUCAUAAUGGGAGAAACUUGGUUGAACAGGAGCACAUGUUAACGAAGGGGUUUUGGUUGAGAAACUUACUGAAUCAGUAAGACAGGACCCUUAAAAAGGCUACUGUGACUGCAGACUGAGGGGAAGUACCAAAAAUAAGCUAAUCCUACUCUAUUAUGCUGGUUAGAACUCACAGAAAGCAUUUUAUUCUGUUCUACAGAGCAGAUACAUAUUGAAACAGAGACAAAUAGGAAUGUGUUCAGAGAAGGUCAACUAAAUGAAUUGCAAACUGAAGGUGUAACAGUUCUCGUAUUUUAAGCUCCUACCAUGAGCAUGGAUCUUCACCCAACAUAUCCCUGAUCCUCACAGUAGCCUGGCUAGAUGAGUAUUUUCACUCACAGAUUUCAGAGAGAGAUACGGCAGCUCGGAACGCUAAGUGUUAGGAUGUGAAGGGGCUGGGAACUGAACGCAGAUGUGCCUGGCUCCAAAGUUGGCCUUCUUUCCACUACUCCACACUGCCUCCCUGUUUGAAAUAGAUGGGCAUGUUUGGUUUGAAGAAAAGAAGCCUUGUGGAGUAAGUAGAAGAAGGAAAUGUGUUAGCAGUCCUCAAAUAUUUGUGGAAGCAGCAUUAGACAUUUUAUUCUGUAUGGCUCCAAUGAGUGCAAAUUGUAGAGAAACAGAUGUCGAUUCAACAUAAAGAAUUUUCCAACAUAGGGGCUGUCUAGAGGGAUUGGGUGGCUCAGCCAUUUUGGUAUGGGACAAAUUCUCUGUCCACUGGGGGCUGGGUAACCCUGUGGCAGGUAUGCGAGCUCUGCAUGUAAGACAAUGAAUGACCUGCAAGGUCUUUUCCCAUCUGAUGUAAAAUAAGGCUCCAAGAUGAACUGGAACUUGGCCAGGGUGAUCCUCUACUGAGGGGACAAAUUCACAGCUCAGUCUUCCCUAGUUAUGUCCCUCAGCCCAGAACCCUUGGUACAACAUGCUGCUUUGUACUGAGGGCAAGGCAAAUUGAAGACAUUAUCAUCAAUAAAAUCACAUCGAGCCCGCUCUCAACCAAAUUAACCAAUGUGGCCGGGCGCAGUGGCUCAUGCCUGUAAUCCCAGCACUUUGAGGCUGAAGCAGGCGGAUCACUUCAGGUCAGGAGUUCGAGACCAGCCUGGCCAACAUGGUGAAACCCCGUCUCUACCAAAAAUACAAAAAUUAGCCAUGUGUAGUGGUGUGUGCCUGUAGUCCCAGCUACUUGGGAGGCUGAGGCAGGAGAAUAGCUUGAGUCCCGGAGGCAGAAGUUGCAGUGAGAUGAGAUGGCGUCACUGCACUCCAGCCUGGGUGACAGAGCGAGACUUCAUCUCAAAAACAAAACCAAACAAAAACAAAUUAACCAAUAUAUCCCUGAAGCUACUGGUGUGUUCCUCUUCAGGCCCAUUUUUGAGUAAAAGUGUUUGGCUGUAAAAAGCUCAAAAGAUGAGUGGCAGACGAGGGAAGCAGUGGAACUGAAUAAUCUCUUACCCAAAUAAGAUGAACCUAAAUGACAGAUGGUUGUUUCUCCAGGUGACAGUAUUAGUGGGCACCCCUAAACUAUCUUCACACACCCUCUGCAUUACUCCACACAUCCCAUUAUCCCACAGCUGGUACUUCUUCACCAGGUACUCCUGCCCCACUAUCCCACACCUAGAGGACAUUUUAUCCACUCAAACAGAUAAAUAGGCUGAAGGAUUCUAAUUAAGUAAUAGAAUCUUGCAUUUUUAUAGCUCUUUACCCUUUCACAUAUAUCAUCUCAUUUGUCACUCACCACAGUCCCCUAAGGAAAACAGCUACUUUCUUUCAGACAGGCAAUUUUCUAGCUGCCUGGGAGCUAGGAGGAGGAAAGGGCUUCAGCACAGGCACAGUCGCUCUUUCUCGCUUUUUUUUUUUUUUCCUGUUACUACCUUCCCACAUUAGAUUAUGCCUCCAGCCAGAAUGAGUCAACCAGGAGCAGGUGCUUCCGUUUUCCUCGACUGCUCUCCUCACCUCACACCUUCUUCAGCUGUCCCCCUCCCUGAACCAGGCCCCCAGCCGCGCCACCACUGCCGCUCUCCGCCCUGGUGACCCCAGCGCCUGGACCUGGACCGACACCUGCAGCUCCGACCCGGAACAGCCACGCCCUCUACCACUCGGUCACACCCGUGUGCCUGCGACCUUUCCAACCUCCAAGGCUGGCUGUCCCACAAGUAGGAAGGCGCAGCCUCCCAAGAAAUCGAGUCCCCACGCCCAGGAGGGCGGGUGGAGCCAGCUAACGGAAUGACUAAACUCUGUCGCGGGGGUCAAGCCUCGGCGAGGGUUGUGUGACUUUUGUGUUCUCUACGACCCCGAGGUGCUGGGAGGCGACGACCGAGGCUCUCGCCCACGUGGCCCUCUUCUGGACCGGCGGCGGCGCACCUCGUAUGGGCACCCACGCGCCCCGGGAGCCCUCCCCUCGCCAGCACAGCCUCACGCCUCCUGGGCCACGCGCACUUACCUGCCCCUAGGACUGGUGUGGCCCACGCACACGAGCCACACCCCCAAGGAGGGCUAGUCCCACUCCUGGAGCGGGCUGCGAGGGUGCACGGGGAGGCUCCACUCCUUCCCCGCCCGCCUCUUACCUGAUUCAGAGAACAUGGCAAGAAUUGAAUCUGAAUAGAAUCUUCACAAUUCUAUUCAGCAUUGUACUGGAGGCCCUAGCCAAUGGAAUAGUGCAAGACAAAGAAAUAAAAGGCAUACACACUGGAAAGGAAGAAGUAAAACUCCUCCUACUUACAUACGACAAGAUUGCAUAUGUUGAAAAUCCUAAGGAACUUACAAAAAACCCACCAGAACCAAUAAAUCCACAGAAGCCUUGAAAACAAAGAGCCCACAAUUGCAGUAAAAAGCAGCAGCCCGGCAGCCACCAGAGAGGGCAGAGUCCCGCAACCUCCCACCACUUUGAAGGAGCUGGAGCUCCUUCAAAGCCUCAUUCAAAAGAAAUUGUCAUUAUUUUACCUAUCUGGUGUUUCCCGGGAACCCUACUUGCAAGGCUGGCUUUAUGUGAUUAAAGUUCAUCAGUGUAAAAAAACCUUUUCCCUAGUAUGUUUGUCAAAAACAAUUAAAGG
rnacentral:lncRNA from 10 species